CUUUGAACUGGAUUUCUUAAACGAUUUUUACCUCACUGCUUGACUAAACACUUUCACGUAUCGAGGCAAAGGAUAAGAUAUGAAGAUAGAUAGAUGAGAGCAAAGGGUGGAAAAUUGGGAGAAGUUCUUAUAUGAUUUAUUUCCUUUAUUGAAAUUUUUAUUGUAUGAAUGAAAUAAGAUAAUUGUAUGCAGAUAAUGGAUUGUGAUGCGUUUAAGAGUAAAGAAAGGAUGAUUUUGAGAUAUUGGCAAUAAUAUUAAUUUGGUUUUGAUUAAUUUUAGUAUAAUUGUGCUCACUGAGAUAUUUAUGUGUAGAAAAAAAAAUUGUUGUACGAAGAUAGGAAAACAGAAGAUAUUACAUAGCAAAGAAUGAAAGGUUUUGAAAAAUAUAUAUUUGUUAUGAAUGUAUGAAUGGAAGAUAAUGCUUGUAGAUAUCCAAAUUUUUUGAAUUCAUUAAAAUUUAUUGAACAAAGAUGAAAUAAUUGAAUAAACCUCUACUUUUCUAUUUUUCAGUUAUUUAAAAGAAAAAAAAAAUCACUCAAGUCAAGAGAUUAAUGAAGUAGUUGGAAUUUAGAUAAAGCCAGAUAUAUAGAAGUAUAUAUAGAAGAAUAAAAAAAUAUAGAUCCUAUCUUCAAUAUUUAUUUGAUAAUCGAAGAUAGAAUCUCUGUGUAUAUUAAACAAAAUGUUUCAUACACAUACUGAAAAGAACCUCGAUACUAGUAUCUUCAAUCACAACGUGAAUCAUUACACCUCUGGACAUUUCUGAAAUUAUAAAAAUUAAAUGAUCAUUAUUAGAAAAUAAAAUUUUUAUACAAUGAAGAAAGUAAUAUAAUGAUACUAACUGUUACAGGAAAUGGAGGAUUUUUUAAACAGCAGUAUAAAUGAUGAAGGAACAAUAUCCAGAAGAAAAGUUCUAGAAGAAAUUUAUUAUUUAUUUAGAACAAAUCAGGUAUUGAUCAUCAAAUAGGUUAUUAAUAUUAACAUGGAUAUAUUAUAAAUAACAUAUCGAAUCUGUUCCAUUGAAAGUCGAAUCCAGAAUGUCGGUCAUCGAUAAAAUCGAAUAAAAUUCAUCGUAUUCCUCCUCUGCAAAACCUUGUUAAACAUCUCAUGACUACACACCCAUAUGUGAGUUUCAUACAAAGUACUCCGUGCGGAUUAAGACAACAUAUACCUUCAAUAUCUAUGGAUUAAUUAAAAAGAGAUUGUUCCAAUACCAUCGAAAUGGAAAUGAAAAUCCGUAGUAUUUACUUUCUCCUGGCAUUCUGGUUCGAGCGCCAUUUAUUUACACAUUGGCGAUAGUAUUUCUAAGAAUAGUGUAAAUACAU